ACGCUCGACACCUACGGGACAGCAGUCGGGAAUAUUGCGCAAUGGAGGAAACUCUGACGCAGUGACGCCGCGUGCAGGAAGAAGGUUUUCGGAUUGUAAACUGCUUUAGACAGGGAAGAAGAAGUGACAGUACCUGUAGAAUAAGCUCCGGCUAACUACGUGCCAGCAGCCGCGGUAAUCUGAGCGGGCUGGCAAGGC
rnacentral:rRNA from 1 species